rnacentral:lncRNA from 1 species
UUUUUUUUUUUUUUUUUUUUACCACUGAGACGGAUUUCUAUCUCCCCUCAGAAAGGACAAAGGAUAGAAUGACCAGAGAGUUGUUUUCUGCAUUUACUUCCUGGACUUGGCAGCCCACACUAGGACAAGAUCAUCUUCAGCAAGUUGGAGGCAGGUGUUGGCGGUCUGGUGCAUUGUGGCCUAUCUGGUUGUACUAAGGCACCUGGUAUCAGUUGAGUGUGUCCUGUAGGGUGCAGUUGAAUGAGGUGAUCUGGAAAGAAGAGCCACACUGUGCAUCCAGUGCAUCUGAAGCGAGGUCGCUGAGUCUUUUUAUGGUAGAUUUUAAAAAAGAAUUUCAGCCCUCAGUGUCUCUGGUUACCCUCAGGAAAUGUAAUGCCAUCAUGUGACAUCUUGAUGUUUUUUGACCUUUGCUAGGGGCUAAAGGCUUUUAAUGGUGAAACCCUUCUUGCUUCACAGUGUGAUAUGUUUGGGUGACAUUGUGGGGAAUAUGAUAAAAACAAAUUUAAGAGACUCAUGAAAAUGAAGCAGUUUUUAGUGCACCAUUCUGCAGAAAGAGACACCAGCUGAAAGAAAAGGAUCAAAUGGCCAGUGUGCUGAAUAUGGAGGAAGGAAGUCCUGGCUCGUCCUCCACAGGCAGGACUUGCCCCAUCCCCCAAUUCCAUAUCCUAUUGGCUUAGGACACAGCCUGAUCUUAUGACUAUGUGGCAAGGCUCAGGACUGUCUCUUUCUCUGAAUUUGGGCUCAGUCAAUUGGCAGAUGACUUAUAACUUUCCAGUCUCAGAGUCCCCCAGGUGGAGGGACGCAGUGCCUCUUGCUUGUCUGUGAAUCUGAUGAGCUCUAAGAGCAUCCCAUGCUAAGAAAGCGCUAUUUCCUUUUCUUUUUAAAAAAGAUUUAUUUAUUUAUUUUUAUGUAUAUGAAUACACUGUAGCUGUACAGAUGGUUGGGAGCCAUCAUGUGGUUGCUGGGAAUUGAACUCAGGACCUCUGCUCGCUCCAGCCCAGCUUGCUCUGGCCCAAAGAUUUAUUUAUUGUUAUACGUACGUACACUGUAGCUGUCUUCAGACACACCAGAAGAGGGUGUCAGAUCACAUUACAGAUGGUUGUGAGCCAUCAUAUGGUUGCUGGGAUUUGAACUCAGGACCUUGGGAACAACAUUCAGUGCUCUUAACCGCUGAGCUAUUUCACCAGCCCACGCUAUCUAUUUCUUACAAUAUCAAAGGCAUUAGAAAAAGGAUGGCUCUUCUGCUGAAUCUCUCUUUUCAGAGUGGCUGCUUGGAGGGGUGAGGAGGCAGUGGAGGAAGUGGGUGUUGGAGUCCUCCAGGCCUCUCAUGAACCACUCUGAUCUUGUCUCGCCCUGUUGCUAUUAAUGGCAAUGGUGAUUUCUUACAGAUUUUUAAAACCCAAGAUCUUAUCUUCUGUCCCUCAAGGAGGCAGGACAGGCCUCUCCUUUCAACAUGGUUUUCCUGUGCCUCACAGCAGCUGCCAGAAGCUGUCUUGGGGUGCUUGGAACAGGGCUUAGAUUUGGCCUGAAUUCCUAGGGCCCAGCUUCUAAGAGCCAAAGCUGGUAUUGCUGUGAGCCAGAGGUUCUCAACCUUCCCAAUGCUGCAACCUUGAAUACAGUUCUUCAUGUUGUGGUGACCCCCCCUCCCCCAAACAAAGAAAUAUGCUCAGUGCUACUUCAUAACUGUGAUUUUGCUAUGUAAACAUCUGGUAUGCAGGCCUACUGAUGUGUGACCCCUGGGAAAGGGUUGUUCAACCCCCUCAUGACCCACAGGUUAAGAACCAGUGCUUUAAGCAGUGACCCUGUGGGCUGGGAUUGUAGUGAUCCAUCCGUACUCAGCCCUCCUAGAGCAUGAGGUUCUUCUUAAAGGCAGGCUCUGUAGUCCUUUGCAUUCAUUUGCCUUAGGGCCUGGCUUGGGCCCACCAAGGUGGAUGUGUCAUCAGAACAAGCUGUCUUAGCCGGCUGUAGCGUUCAAUCCACAAACAAACAAACAACUUAGUUAAAGGGAUUUUUUACACCAGACAUUUUGGAGG